CCGGCGCACGGGUGAGUAACACGUAUGCAAUCCACCUGUAACAGGGGAUAACCCGGAGAAAUCCGGACUAAUACCCCAUAAUAUGGGCGCUCCGCAUGGAGAGUUCAUUAAAGAGAGCAAUUUUGGUUACAGACGAGCAUGCGCUCCAUUAGCCAGUUGGCGGGGUAACGGCCCACCAAGGCGACGAUGGAUAGGGGUUCUGAGAGGAAGGUCCCCCACAUUGGAACUGAGACACGGUCCAA
rnacentral:rRNA from 1 species